rnacentral:rRNA from 1 species
CAGCCAGACUCCUACGGGAGGCAGCAGUGGGGGAUAUUGCACAAUGGGGGAAACCCUGAUGCAGCGACGCCGCGUGUGGGAAGACGGUCCUCUGGAUUGUAAACCACUGUCCCCAGGGACGAAAAUGACGGUACCUGGGGAGGAAGCUCCGGCUAACUACGUGCCAGCAGCCGCGGUAAUACGUAGGGGGCAAGCGUUAUCCGGAUUUACUGGGUGUAAAGGGAGCGUAGACGGCAAGGCAAGUCUGGAGUGAAAGCCCGUGGCCCAACCACGGGACUGCUUUGGAAACUGUGUUGCUGGAGUGCAGGAGGGGUAAGCGGAAUUCCUGGUGUAGCGGUGAAAUGCGUAGAUAUCAGGAGGAACACCGGCGGCGAAGGCGGCCUGCUGGACCGCGACUGACGUUGAGGCUCGAAAGCGUGGGGAGCGAACAGGAUUAGAUACCCGGGUAUA